GGGGGGAGGUGGGGGAAGGUGGGGGGCUCCGUGCUGCCAGCCUCGUGGCCCGGGGGGGCAGGCGGGGGAUCUGUGCCUCCCUCCCUCUGCCA